rnacentral:rRNA from 1 species
UACAGAGGUCCCGAGCGUUGUUCGGAUUCACUGGGCGUAAAGGACGCGUAGGCGGCUUUGCAAGUGGCGGGUGAAAUCCCUCGGCUUAACCGAGGAACUGCCUGUCAAACUGCAUGGCUUGAGACCGGGAGAGGUGAGUGGAAUUCCCAGUGUAGCGGUGAAAUGCGUAGAUAUUGGGAGGAACACCAGUGGCGAAGGCGGCUCGCUGGGACGGUACUGACGCUAAGGCGCGAAAGCGUGGGGAGCGAACAGG